rnacentral:rRNA from 1 species
UUUCCGGUUGAUUCCUGCCGGAGGUCACUGCUAAUCGGUGUUCGACUAAAGCCAUGCGAGUCAAAUGUUCUUCGUGAACAUGGCGUACUGCUCAGUAACACGUGGAUAACCUGCCCUUAGGACUGGCAUAACCCCGGGAAACUGGGGAUAAUUCCGGAUAGUUCAUGGUAGCUGGAAUGCUCCAUGAUCGAAAGCUAUUGCGCCUAAGGAUGGGUCUGCGGUCUAUCAGGUAGUAGUGGGUGUAAUGUACCUACUAGCCGACGACGGAUACGGGUUGUGGGAGCAAGAGCCCGGAGAUGGAUUCUGAGACAUGAAUCCAGGCCCUACGGGGCGCAGCAGGCGCGAAAACUUUACAAUGCGGGAAACCGCGAUAAGGGGACACCGAGUGCCAGCAUCUUAUGUUGGCUGUCCGCAUGUAUAAAUCACAUGUGUUAGCAAGGGCCGGGCAAGACCGGUGCCAGCCGCCGCGGUAACACCGGCGGCCCGAGUGGUGGCCACUAUUAUUGGGUCUAAAGGGUCCGUAGCCGGUUUGGUCAGUCUUCCGGGAAAUCUGACGGCUUAACCGUUAGGCUUUCGGGGGAUACUACCAGGCUUGGGACCGGGAGAGGUAAGAGGUACUACGGGGGUAGGAGUGAAAUCUUGUAAUCCUCGUGGGACCACCAGUGGCGAAGGCGUCUUACCAGAACGGGUCCGACGGUGAGGGACGAAAGCUGGGGGCACGAACCGGAUUAGAUACCCGGGUAGUCCCAGCCGUAAACUAUGCUCGCUAGGUGUCAGGGACGGUGCGACCGUUUCUGGUGCCGCAGGGAAGCCGUGAAGCGAGCCACCUGGGAAGUACGGUCGCAAGGCUGAAACUUAAAGGAAUUGGCGGGGGAGCAC